AUCCUCGGAUGGAUCAGUCGAGCCUCUGCCUUUCAGUUCUCUUGGAACAAGACAGAAGAUAGUCAAUCUUACUGUCGCGCAUACCUUAAGCGGGUCUGCCGCCUUCGUUUCUCUUUCUUCAGCGAAUGACUUUGGAUCAGCGCUCGCGCGCCGUACCGCAGCCCUUUUGGGCUGCUGGCGCUCCGCGAGGGCGCGGCAUAAGCCGCGACGGCCGGUCGGCCUUGCGAGGCUUCGCCUCGAGGUCAACAGCUCGUUACUGGCAGAGCGCGGUCUUUAGGGCUUGUAGCUCAGUUGGUUAGAGCGCGCGCUUGAUAAGCGUGGGGGUCGGAGGUUCAAGUCCUCCCAGGCCCACCAUCUCCUUGAUGUCUGCCAUCUUCUUGGUGGUUCUAUCAGGAACACAAUCAGGGGCCGUAGCUCAGCUGGGAAGAGGGCCUGCUUUGCAAGCAGGAUGUCGUCGGUUCGAUCCCGUCCGGCUCCACCAUCUUUCCCUGGAAAGAGGUGUCGAGUAGAGAUGUGGUGAAAAAAGUCAUUCGUAUAAAGGUUUGUGGUGAGCUUCUUGGCUUGCCGCUUGUUCUGUUUGACAUCGUAAAGAGAAGAUUUGUUCGAACUUCAUGGGCUGAAAGGCUUCAUGAUUUGUCGCAAGGGACGCUCAAUCCCUUGCAUAUGAUGGGUUUGCCUAACCGCACCCUCGAACCGAUCUCGAGAAGCUGGUCUUUUUGCGCCAAUGACAUCGAGCAAGAUCCCGCACAGGAUCUGGUUCGAGGCGACAAUCCCUUCGGGAUUGCGCUUAUGCGACGAUCUCUUCGAGAUCGCGCCUAUGCGACGAUCCUUCGGAUCGCGCUUAGCUAACCUCGCAAGGGUUUGGCUGAAGCGACGAUCCCUUCGGGAUCGCGCGGAUGGGUAUUGGCAAUGAGAACGAUCAAGUGUCUUAAGGGCAAUUGGUGGAUGCCUUGGCAUGCACAGGCGAUGAAGGACGUGAUACGCUGCGAUAAGCUA
rnacentral:tRNA from 1 species